UACGGAGGGUGCGAGCGUUGUCCGGAAUCAUUGGGCGUAAAGGGCGCGUAGGCGGAUAGUUCAGUCGGGGGUGAAAGCCCGGGGCUCAACCUCGGAACUGCCUUCGAUACUGGCUAUCUUGAGUACGGGAGAGGUGUGUGGAACUCCGAGUGUAGAGGUGAAAUUCGUAGAUAUUCGGAAGAACACCAGUGGCGAAGGCGACACACUGGCCCGUUACUGACGCUGAGGCGCGAAAGCGUGGGGAGCAAACAGG
rnacentral:rRNA from 1 species